UCCCAUAUGGUCUAGUGGCUAGGAUAUCUGGCUUUCACCCAGGAGACUCGGGUUCGAUUCCCGGUAUGGGAA
rnacentral:tRNA from 1 species